GACGAACGCUGGCGGCGUGCCUAAUACAUGCAAGUUGAGCGAUGAAGAUUGGUGCUUGCACCAAUUUGAAGAGCAGCGAACGGGUGAGUAACGCGUGGGGAAUCUGCCUUUGAGCGGGGGACAACAUUUGGAAACGAAUGCUAAUACCGCAUAACAACUUUAAACAUAAGUUUUAAGUUUGAAAGAUGCAAUUGCAUCACUCAAAGAUGAUCCCGCGUUGUAUUAGCUAGUUGGUGAGGUAAAGGCUCACCAAGGCGAUGAUACAUAGCCGACCUGAGAGGGUGAUCGGCCACAUUGGGACUGAGACACGGCCCAAACUCCUACGGGAGGCAGCAGUAGGGAAUCUUCGGCAAUGGACGAAAGUCUGACCGAGCAACGCCGCGUGAGUGAAGAAGGUUUUCGGAUCGUAAGACUCUGUUGGUAGAGAAGAACGUUGGUGAGAGUGGAAAGCUCAUCAAGUGACGGUAACUACCCAGAAAGGGACGGCUAACUACGUG
rnacentral:rRNA from 1 species